rnacentral:rRNA from 1 species
AGGGCACCACCAGGGGUGGAGCCUGCGGCUUAAUUUGACUCAACACGGGGAAACUCAUCCGGUCCGGACACCGUGAGGAUUGACAGAUUGAGAGCUCUUUCUUGAUUUGGUGGGCAGUGGUGCAUGGCCGUUCUUAGUUGGUGGAGUGAUUUGUCUGGUUUAUUCCGAUAACGAACGAGACUCUGGCCUACUAACUAGUUGCGCGAUUGAGGAGUCGUGCCAACUUCUUAGAGGGACAAGCGGUGCUCAGCCGCAUGAAAAAGAGCAAUAACAGGUCUGUGAUGCCCCUCGAUGUUCGGAGCUGCACGCGCGCUACACUGUGAGUGGCAGCAUGUUAGCUUGCCUCGCUCGCAAGAGUGGGGUAAUCGGUUGAAAAUCUCACGUGAUUGGGAUAGGGACUUGUAAUUAUUUCCCUUGAACGAGGAAUCCCUAGUAAGUGCAGGUCAUCAGCUUGCGCUGAUUACGUCCCUGCCCUUUGUGCACACCGCCCGUCGCUGCCCGGAACUGAAGCAUCUCGAG